UACAGAGGAGCCAAGCGUUGUCCGGAUUGACUGGGCGUAAAGCGCACGCAGGCGGACGCGCGCGUGGGGUGUGAAAUCUGGCCGCUUAACGGCCAGGCGCCAUCCCAUACGGCGGGUCUGGAGCCUUGCAGAGGUCGGUGGAAUUGCCGGUGUAGUGGUGAAAUGCGUAGAGAUCGGCAGGAACACCCAGGGGGGAAACCAGCCGACUGGGCAAGUGCUGACGCUGAGGUGCGAGAGCGUGGGGAGCGAACAGG
rnacentral:rRNA from 1 species